GAAAUUAGUGCUAACAGCCAAAACCGGGUUAACACGAUGGGCUUUAGGGGCUUAGCCCCUUGGCGCUGGAUAAAAGUGGCGCUGGAAAAUUAAUAAUGAAUCGUGUUAAGUUUACUGGUUUCAUUAAAAUAAACUACUUUUACCGAUAUUUGAAAAAAAUAUUCCUGCGGCGCAAUUAAAAAGAUAUGGCAUCACAGUUUUUACAUUUUCUUGUUUGGAAAUUCCUGAUAUCCACUGUAUCCAGAAUACUGGGAAAUCAGGAAAAUUAAACUUCAAAUUCUUGAUUGGCA